UAGGCAAUUGGACGAAAGUCUAUCCUUUGUUUGUCUUGGAAAUACGUAUAAGCCAUUCAAAACUCGAGAGAUCGGUCGUUUUUAACUGACCAGGAAUUGCCAACGUUAACCUUUUGGGAGGUUAAAAAAACAAACGAACAAACAAACAAAUAAUAAAAUUUUAAUUUGAACCUAAUGAGAUUUUUUGCAAUAAGACGAAUUUUUGAGACAUUUUAGAGUUGAGAAAUUUUCAAACUAAAUUAUUCAAUUUUCCUCAAAGAAUCACAUCUAACCUAAUUACUUGAUGCACCAAUAUAACUGGUAAUUAGUUCGUUCCAAAAUAUUCUUGAACAGAUGUAUCUAUUUUGUUAAGAUUAGUUCUUUGAUUCAUUUAAGUAUGAAAUAGUUCACCCGUAGAGAUCUUAAGGUUGCCACGAAUACAUUCAGUAAUGAAUACUGGAAUUAAAAUUCCAUGAGAGAGCUAAAACAUGAAUGUAUAAAAAAUGAAACAAACUGGUGAAGUCAGUACCUGAUUAUCUUGAUCAGCUAUUUUGCUCAUAAGCUGUGAUCUCAAUUCUUCAUGACUAUUAUUUGACUGAGCAAUACUUUGUAGUUCUUCCAAAUUUGCCUCUAAUGCAGCUUUCUGAGUUUCAAGCUCUUCAAUUUUACUCUUGUUUCUGGUCAAUUCAGUAUUUAAGUCUUGUUCUACUUUCAUUGAUGUAGCGUGAGCCUCCACAAGUUUUGCAAUCUCCUGUUUCUGUUUUUGUUCCGUCUCUUGCCAAUCAGUUUCUUUCUGCUCGAAGUCAGCCAGUUCUUCUUCAACCAAAGUCAUCUUUUUUGUAGCCUCUUCCACUUUUGCUCUCAAUAAAACACUUCUUCUGAUUUCUCCAUCAAUUCAGCAGCUAAUUUUUUCUCAUUUUCUUGCAGAUUGAGACACAUGGAAGUCAGAGCUUUAAUAUCCUGGAAAGUUAAUCGAACGUUUUUAGACAAAAAUAUUAACAACAAUUGGUAGAGAAACCUUUGAACAUUUACACUUACGGUUUACAUGCAUUGGCAUUGGUAGACUC
rnacentral:lncRNA from 1 species